UUGAUAAGAGUUAUUUAUGUAUAACAUAAUUGCUAAAACCAUUUACCUUCUUCCAUUUACAUUCAGUUAUCGGUACUGUUAUGUCGUUCAUUUUUCUGUCAACAUUCCACUAUAUAAGACGGACUCACAGUAAGAUGAAGGAUUUAACAAGAUGACAUGGAAAACUACUGCGGUAAAGAGUUUACUUUCAUCCUGGAGGAACGAGUACCAGAUUAAGCUUGAACUUGAUGACGUACUACAUUACCAGAGAAGAGGAUCCUGUGAGACCAGGUUCGAAGCCUGGUAUUCAACCUAUUCCAAACUCAUGUUCUAUUUUGAAGAUCUAGACCUCGAUUGCGAUAAAGGCCAUCUCGAGUUUUACACUGAUGAUAGUGGUUAUAUACGUGUGCCGGGCUUGGAGAGAGACAUAUGUGGGUACGACAAACUACAGGGUGUAUUUACUGUGGACACACGGUAUUUCCGAAUAAAAUACGUCCCUAAAAGAAGCCAGUAACAUUAAUGAUAUAUUUUCUAUUAUCAAUUACAAUCUACGGGGAUGAUUAUUGUCCAAGCUAUGCGCACGAAUGUGCCAACUCUCGGUGUAUAGAUGAAGGUCUUGCUGUGUAAUGGCUAUGAACUCGUGCGGGGAUGGUUCUGGUUGUGACCUAAGCACGGGUGCAAUCGUACGGUAUAGUGAUCGGAAGUCUUACUGGAUUAGCUUUAAUUGUCAGUUUAGUCGUCUGCUGCAUUUGUUGCACGAAACGUAGUGGACAAACUCCCGGAGUAGUGCAGAACCAACAGACAUAUAGCCAACCAAUGUGCGGGGUUAACCAGGGAUCACCGUACAACCCAAGCCAAUCUCAAAACCCUCUUGCACCGAGCAUACCGCAUACGGCUUCUAACCAACCGGGUUACAGCCAUCCAAUAUAUGGUAUGAAUCAGGGUACAUACUAUCCUACCGUGUCGCUAAAUUCAGAGAUAAAUCAACAACCAAAUGACGAGAAACAGUAUAGUGCUCCUCCACCGGAAUAUAGUGAAAUCUUCGCAAACUCCGAACAAGGCACUAAUCAGCCUAUGCAUUAAUGUACGAACAGCUUAUCCGCAGUGUUUUUAUCGGAGGAAAAAUGAAUUUAUCUUACGAAAGACUUUUAAUUAUUAAGAAUCAUUUUGCUCGGUACUGUAACACUGAAGCAAACACUGCUAUAAAAUGUUUUCUAUUAAGGGUAUGCAUGCGAGAAAGGCACUAUAUUUCUACCUGAGAUGGUUGAUUUUAUACUUUUAACACUGAAUAUGAAUCUCUCUUCGUUGUGAUAUCAAAAGAAAAUUAAAAUAUUCGUAAUUGUGA
rnacentral:lncRNA from 1 species